GUGAUGGAUUGUGUCGCGACACGUGUUUGUUGUGGCGGGUUGAUCGAAGAAUGAGAUCUAUAAGAUUGAACCGCUGAAGAAAGAUUUGGAGCUAUGCCAGUAUUUGGCUGAGGCUUCGAAGUGUUGGGGCCUUGGAAGAUGUGACGCAGCCGUGUGAGGGACGGCCGGCCAUCCUUGAAAUCGACGAGAUCUUUCAGCUGGAUAUAGAAGACGCUAACAUACAUAGUUGGUGAAGGCACGAGAAAUACGCUUCUCCUAUGACAGAGGCGCCUUUUCCCUUUCUGUUUUUCAUUAGCGCUUUCACACGAAAGUGAAAUAGUUUUGUGCUAUUUGUUAAAAAUGGCCAAAAACUGAACACAAGGUCAUGUAGGUCAUAGUAGUCUUCUAGCCCAGUGAGAGUGCGUGCGAGACUGAGGGCUGUUGCCAAAUCAUAAUCAAGACAGAGCGCGGAGCGACUGUCCGCGUCUAUCGAGUGCGUCUCUUGCAAAUGGGCUAUAGGUCUGUGCAUGUACAUGUGAAGCUGCUCUGCGGUCGGCGCGAUUGGUUAUAAAUAAAUUGACUUGCAUUCAA